UGGGGAAUUUUGCGCAAUGGGCUAACGCCUGACGCAGCAACGCCGCGUGGAGGAUGAAGGUCUUUGGAUUGUAAACUCCUGUCAGCGGGGAAAAAGCAACCGUACCUCAUACGUACGGAAGUUGAUUGUACCCGCAGAGGAAGCCCCGGCUAACUCUGUGCCAGCAGCCGCGGUAAUACAGAGGGGGCAAGCGUUAUUCGGAAUUAUUGGGCGUAAAGGGCGCGUAGGCGGCCUGACAAGUGGAAGGUGAAAUCCCUCGGCUCAACUGAGGAACUGCCCUCCAAACUGUUUGGCUUGAGACCGGGAGAGGUGAGUGGAAUUCCCAGUGUAGCGGUGAAAUGCGUAGAUAUUGGGAGGAACACCAGUGGCGAAGGCGGCUCACUGGACCGGUACUGACGCUGAGGCGCGAAAGCGUGGGGAGCAAACGG
rnacentral:rRNA from 1 species